GACGAACGCUGGCGGCGUGCUUAACACAUGCAAGUCGAACGGAAAGGCCCUGCUUUUGUGGGGUGCUCGAGUGGCGAACGGGUGAGUAACACGUGAGUAACCUGCCCUUGACUUUGGGAUAACUUCAGGAAACUGGGGCUAAUACCGGAUAGGAGCUCCUGCUGCAUGGUGGGGGUUGGAAAGUUUCGGCGGUUGGGGAUGGACUCGCGGCUUAUCAGCUUGUUGGUGGGGUAGUGGCUUACCAAGGCUUUGACGGGUAGCCGGCCUGAGAGGGUGACCGGCCACAUUGGGCCUGAGAGACGGCCCAGACUCGUACGGGAGGCAGCAGUGGGGAGUAUUGCAGAAUGGGGGGAAGCCUGAUGCAGAAACGCCGGGUGCGGGAUGACGGCCUUCGGGUUGUAAACCGCUGUCGGCGGUGACGAAGCGUGAGUGACGGUAAUGGGUAAAGAAGCAACGGCUAACUACGUG
rnacentral:rRNA from 1 species